AAGUUACGAGAAAUCUUAUGGAUUUACUGAAUGCUCAUCUACAAGCAGAGGGCCCGCAACAAACACCAACUGUGCCACAGCGCACAACACCAGCGACAACACCUUAACAGACUAUCCCUCGGUCUACAGUUCAUCAAGAAAUGUCAAGGAUUUCCAAGAGCCAGACAUCGACUGGGAUGUUGCUGCAGAGUACAGCCCAGAUGUGGACGGUGCUGCUGUGGUCCCGGAGUUCGACAGUCCCCUCACUGAAGAGCAGCAUGCUGAACUGCAUCCAUGCUUUCGUUCUUUUUUAAACACAGAAACAGUUUUGUUUACCUGUUAGUAGCUACAGUUUCGCCGACGGCUGCCGGCUUCUUCAGGCUGACGCUGUUGGUGGCGCGUCACUUCCUUCUCCGUUUAUCUGCGGGCAGCAGAGACAACUGCCCGCAGAUAAACGGAGAAGGAAGUGACGCGCCACCAACAGCGUCAGCCUGAAGAAGCCGGCAGCCGUCGGCGAAACUGUAGCUACUAACAGGUAAACAAAACUGUUUCUGUGUUUAAAAAAGAACGAAAGCAUGGAUUUAGAAAGACACAGCAAGAACACACCUAAGAUGCUGAACUGCAGUUGCUACUGGCACAAAAUUGGGAGCGUUCAAACACUAAGGAACUUUAUCUAUUGUGCAGAGAAUAUGUUAAUGCUGCUUUGUCAGAUUAAUGUGUACUUGAAAUAAAAAAUCAAGAGAUCA